rnacentral:rRNA from 1 species
ACUCCUACGGGAGGCAGCAGUGGGGAAUAUUGCACAAUGGGCGCAAGCCUGAUGCAGCCAUGCCGCGUGUGUGAAGAAGGCCUUCGGGUUGUAAAGCACUUUCAGUUGUGAGGAAGGUGGUGUCGUUAAUAGCGGCAUCAUUUGACGUUAGCAACAGAAGAAGCACCGGCUAACUCCGUGCCAGCAGCCGCGGUAAUACGGAGGGUGCGAGCGUUAAUCGGAAUUACUGGGCGUAAAGCGCAUGCAGGUGGUUUGUUAAGUCAGAUGUGAAAGCCCGGGGCUCAACCUCGGAACUGCAUUUGAAACUGGCAGACUAGAGUACUGUAGAGGGGGGUAGAAUUUCAGGUGUAGCGGUGAAAUGCGUAGAGAUCUGAAGGAUACCGGUGGCGAAGGCGGCCCCCUGGACAGAUACUGACACUCAGAUGCGAAAGCGUGGGAGCAAACAGGAUUAGAUACCCGUGGUAGCACAGAG